GACGAACGCUGGCGGCGUGCCUAAUACAUGCAAGUUGAGCGAUGAAGAUUGGUGCUUGCACCAAUUUGAAGAGCAGCGAACGGGUGAGUAACGCGUGGGGAAUCUGCCUUUGAGCGGGGGACAACAUUUGGAAACGAAUGCUAAUACCGCAUAACAACUUUAAACAUAAGUUUUAAGUUUGAAAGAUGCAAUUGCAUCACUCAAAGAUGAUCCCGCGUUGUAUUAGCUAGUUGGUGAGGUAAAGGCUCACCAAGGCGAUGAUACAUAGCCGACCUGAGAGGGUGAUCGGCCACAUUGGGACUGAGACACGGCCCAAACUCCUACGGGAGGCAGCAGUAGGGAAUAUUCGGCAAUGGACGAAAGUCUGACCGAGCAACGCCGCGUGAGUGAAGAAGGUGUUCGGAUCGUAAAACUCUGUUGGUAGAGAAGAACGUUGGUGAGAGUGGAAAGCUCAUCAAGUGACGGUAACUACCCAGAAAGGGACGGCUAACUACGUG
rnacentral:rRNA from 1 species